rnacentral:ncRNA from 1 species
UUCUUAUCCAGAGAGGUGGAGGGACAUGGCCCUGCGAAACCUCAGCAACAGGUCUUUUAAGGACACUGUGCUACAUCCAUCGGGAAUUAAUUCUCGAGAGAUAAGAU